AUUGAACGCUGGCGGCAGGCCUAACACAUGCAAGUCGGACGAGUGGCGGACGGGUGAGUAAUGUCUGGGGAACUGCCUGAUGGAGGGGGAUAACUACUGGAAACGGUAGCUAAUACCGCAUACCAUCAGAUGUACCCAUAUGGGAUUGGCUUGUAGGUGUGGUAACGGCUCACCUAGGCGACGCUCCCUAGCUGGUCUGAGAGGAUGAUCAGCCACACUGGAAAUGAGACACGGCCCAGACUCCUACGGGAGGCAGCAGUGGGGAAUAUUGCACAAUGGGCGCAAGCCUGAUGCAGCCAUGCCGCGUGUAUGAAGAAUGCCUUCGGGUUGUAAAGUACUUUCAGUCGGGAGGCGUUACCGACAGAAGAAGCACCGGCUAACUCCGUGCCAGUCGCCGCGGUAAUUC
rnacentral:rRNA from 1 species